rnacentral:rRNA from 1 species
CGGGAAGCCGUUGAUCAAUCCUUCGGGAAAGUGAUGCGGCGGAGAGUGGCGAAAGGGUGAGUAACACGUAGGUAACCUGCCUCUAAGUUGGGGAUAACCCCGCGAAAGUGGAGCUAAUACCGAAUGUGGUCGUCCCGGGCAUCCGGGAUUGAUCAAAGAUGGGGAUCCUUCGGGACCUGUCGCUUGGAGAGGGGCCUGCGUCCCAUCAGCUAGUUGGUGUGGUAACGGCGCACCAAGGCUUACGGGUAGGUGGUCUGAGAGGAUGGUCACCCACACUGGGACUGAGACACUGCCCAGACUCCUACGGGAGGCUGCAGUCGAGGAUCAUUCGCAAUGCGCGAAAGCGUGACGAUGCGACGCUGCGUGGAGGAUGACGGCCCUAGGGUUGUAAACUCCUGUCAUCCGGGAAAAAGUGUUCAGGGCUAAUACCCCUGGAAAAAGAUGGUACCGGAAGAGGAAGCCACGGCUAACUCUGUGCCAGCAGCCGCGGUAAUACAGAGGUGGCGAGCGUUGUUCGGAUUUACUGGGCGUAAAGCGUGCGUAGGCGGUUUCGUGUGUCGGGUGUGAAAUCCCAUGGCUCAACUGUGGAAUUGCAUUCGAAACUACGAAACUAGAGUGCAGGAAGGGAGAGCGGAAUUCCUGGUGUAGCGGUGAAAUGCGUUGAUAUCAGGAGGAACACCGGUGGCGAAGGCGGCUCUCUGGAAUGUAACUGACGCUCAGGCACGAAAGCGUGGGGAGCAAACAGGAUUAGAUACCCUGGUAGUCCACGCCGUAAACGGUGCGCACUUGGUGUUGGAGGUA